GAUGAACGCUAGCUACAGGCUUAACACAUGCAAGUCGAGGGGAAACGACAUCGAAAGCUUGCUUUUGAUGGGCGUCGACCGGCGCACGGGUGAGUAACGCGUAUCCAACCUGCCCACCACUUGGGGAUAACCUUGCGAAAGUAAGACUAAUACCCAAUGAUAUCUCUAGAAGACAUCUGAAAGAGAUUAAAGAUUUAUCGGUGAUGGAUGGGGAUGCUUCUGAUUAGCUUGUUGGCGGGGUAACGGCCCACCAAGGCAACGAUCAGUAGGGGUUCUGAGAGGAAGGUCCCCCACAUUGGAACUGAGACACGGUCCAAACUCCUACGGGAGGCAGCAGUGAGGAAUAUUGGUCAAUGGACGAGAGUCUGAACCAGCCAAGUAGCGUGCAGGAAGACGGCCCUAUGGGUUGUAAACUGCUUUUAUAAGGGAAUAAAGUGAGUCUCGUGAGACUUUUUGCAUGUACCUUAUGAAUAAGGACCGGCUAAUUCCGUG
rnacentral:rRNA from 1 species